rnacentral:rRNA from 1 species
CCUACGGGAGGCAGCAGUGGGGAAUUUUGGACAAUGGGCGCAAGCCUGAUCCAGCAAUGCCGCGUGAGUGAAGAAGGCCUUCGGGUUGUAAAGCUCUUUUGUCAGGGAAGAAACGGCCUGUUCUAAUACAGUGGGCUAAUGACGGUACCUGAAGAAUAAGCACCGGCUAACUACGUGCCAGCAGCCGCGGUAAUACGUAGGGUGCAAGCGUUAAUCGGAAUUACUGGGCGUAAAGCGUGCGCAGGCGGUUUUGUAAGUCUGUCGUGAAAUCCCCGGGCUCAACCUGGGAAUGGCGAUGGAGACUGCAAGGCUAGAGUUUGGCAGAGGGGGGUAGAAUUCCACGUGUAGCAGUGAAAUGCGUAGAUAUGUGGAGGAACACCGAUGGCGAAGGCAGCCCCCUGGGUCAAAACUGACGCUCAUGCACGAAAGCGUGGGGAGCAAACAGGAUUAGAUACCCUGGUAGUCCACGCCCUAAACGAUGUCUACUAGUUGUCGGGUCUUAAUUGACUUGGUAACGCAGCUAACGCGUGAAGUAGACCGCCUGGGGGAGUACGGUCGCAAGNUUAAAACUCAAAUGAAAUUGACGG